CCUACGGGUGGCAGCAGUGGGGAAUAUUGCACAAUGGGGGAAACCCUGAUGCAGCGACGCCGCGUGAGUGAAGAAGUAUUUCGGUAUGUAAAGCUCUAUCAGCCGGGAAGAUAAUGACGGUACCUGACUAAGAAGCCCCGGCUAACUACGUGCCAGCAGCCGCGGUAAUACGUAGGGGGCAAGCGUUAUCCGGAUUUACUGGGUGUAAAGGGAGCGUAGGUGGCAGGGCAAGUCAGAUGUGAAAACCCGGGGCUCAACCCCGGGGGUGCAUUUGAAACUGUCCAGCUGGAGUGCAGGAGAGGUAAGCGGAAUUCCUAGUGUAGCGGUGAGAUGCAGAGAUAUUAGGAGGAACACCGAUUGCGAAGGCAGCAUACCGGCGGCGAUCUGACGCUGAGGCACGAAAGCGUGGGUAUCGAACAGGAUUAGAUACCCGGGUAGUC
rnacentral:rRNA from 1 species